rnacentral:rRNA from 1 species
CCAAUAGCGUAUAUUAAAGUUGUUGCAGUUAAAAAGCUCGUAGUUGAAUUUCGGGAUCAAUACGUCGGUCGUGCCUCUGGUAUGUACUGGUGUUAUUGAUUCCUCCUUUCUGAUGAACCAUGAUGUCAUUAAUUUGGUGUUGUGGGGAGUCAGUACUGUUACUUUGAAAAAAUUAGAGUGUUUAAAGCAGGCCUGCGCUUGAAUACAUUAGCAUGGAAUGAUAAAAUAGGACGUUCGAACCUAUUUUGUUGGUUUCUAGGAUCAACGUAAUGAUUAAUAGGGAUAGUUGGGGGCAUUAGUAUUCAAUUGUCAGAGGUGAAAUUCUUGGAUUUAUUGAAGACUAACUACUGCAAAAGCAUUUGCCAAGGAUGUUUUCAUUAAUCAAGAACGAAAGUUAGGGGAUCGAAGACGAUCAGAUACCGUCGUAGUCUUAACCAUAAACUAUGCCGACUAGGGAUCGGAUGAUGUUAAUUUUUUAAUGACUCAUUCGGCGCCUUACG